UACGUAGGGUGCGAGCGUUAAUCGGAAUUACUGGGCGUAAAGCGUGCGUAGGCGGUUUGCCGUGUCCUGUGUGAAAGCCCCGGGCUCAACCUGGGAAUUGCAUGGGAAACUGGCAGGCUUGAGUGUGGCAGAGGAGGGUGGAAUUCCGCGUGUAGCAGUGAAAUGCGUAGAUAUGUGGAGGAACACCGAUGGCGAAGGCAGCCCCCUGGGAUGUGACUGACGCUCAUGUACGAAAGCGUGGGGAGCAAACAGG
rnacentral:rRNA from 1 species